CUGCUGGCUAAGGGCCGAAAGG
rnacentral:misc_RNA from 1 species